GCCUGGGUGGCUCAGUUGGUUGAGCGUCUGACUUCAGCUCAGGUCACGAUCUCACAGUCGGUGGGUUUGAGCCCCGUAUCAGGCU
rnacentral:tRNA from 1 species